AUUGAACGCUGGCGGCAUGCCUUACACAUGCAAGUCGAACGGCAGCGGGGGAGAAGCUUGCUUUUCCUGCCGGCGAGUGGCGAACGGGUGAGUAAUACAUCGGAACGUGCCCUGGAGUGGGGGAUAACUAGUCGAAAGAUUAGCUAAUACCGCAUACGACCUGAGGGUGAAAGUGGGGGACCGCAAGGCCUCAUGCUAUAGACGCGGCCGGGGUCUGAUUAGCUGGUUGGUGGGGUAAAGGCCUACCAAGGCGACGAUCAGUAGCUGGUCUGAGAGGACGAUCAGCCACACUGGGACUGAGACACGGCCCAGACUCCUACGGGAGGCAGCAGUGGGGAAUUUUGGACAAUGGGCGAAAGCCUGAUCCAGCAAUGCCGCGUGUGUGAAGAAGGCCUUCGGGUUGUAAAGCACUUUUGUCCGGAAAGAGAUGGCUCUGGUUAAUACCUGGGGUCGAUGACGGUACCGGAAGAAUAAGGACCGGCUAACUACGUGCCAGCCGCCGCCGUAA
rnacentral:rRNA from 1 species